rnacentral:rRNA from 1 species
CAGCCGCCACGGGAAUACGAAGGGGGCUAGCGUUGCUCGGAAUGACUGGGCGUAAAGGGCGCGUAGGCGGUUUGGACAGUCAGAUGUGAAAUUCCUGGGCUUAACCUGGGGGCUGCAUUUGAUACGUUCAGGCUUGAGUGUGGAAGAGGGUCGUGGAAUUCCCAGUGUAGAGGUGAAAUUCGUAGAUAUUGGGAAGAACACCGGUGGCGAAGGCGGCGACCUGGUCCAUUACUGACGCUGAGGCGCGAAAGCGUGGGGAGCAAACAGGAUUAGAUACCCGCGUAGUCCCUGUCUCUUAUAC